GCAAGUCGAACGAGAAAGGACGCUUCGGUGUCCGAGUAAAGUGGCGAACGGGUGAGUAACACGUGAGUAACGUACCUUCAGGUGGGGAAUAACUGUUCGAAAGGACAGCUAAUGCCGCAUGAGACCACAACUUCUUAUGGAGAAGGGGUCAAAGCUUUAUGCGCCUGAAGAUCGGCUCGCGGCCCAUUAGGUAGUUGGCGGGGUAAUGGCCCACCAAGCCAGAGAUGGGUAGCUGGUGUGAGAGCACGACC
rnacentral:rRNA from 1 species